AGAAGCGCAAAUAACCCGCGCUCUGCGCGCCCAAUCGUGGCAUUCUUGGGAGUUCCCCGCGGGCAAGGAAGCCUGCUGCUCCCCGCAGCUGCGGAGGAGAGGAGGGAGCCUGCAUGCUGGGGCAGGGUGUCGCGAACUUGGGGCAACCCACCUCCAGAGCCCCGCCCCCGCUUUCCCGCCUGCCGGUGACCUGCCGAAAGGAGAACCACCCUCCUUCCUGAGGCAAAUUUGGGAGGGGAGAGGUCCAGAAGCUGUAGAGUCGGGGCGCCAAGCGCCAGAUUCUGCCGCUCGGAAGUCGGGGGCAGUCCCCAGUCCCGCCUCAGGCCCCCGCGCUCACAGGGCGCUCCGCCGAGGGCGCGGGCCAGGCGCGCGGUGUCGCCUCCACGAAGUCAUUUACUUGCCCUGAAGGAGCUGGCCCUCGACCCCUUGGAGGGUGGAGAUUCCUCCCAUUCCCUCCUCCGCCUCCCCCAGGUCGGCGAAGAGACGUGGAAUUGAGCUGGACCGAUGAUUCCGCGAGCUCUGUAAUUAUGCACACACUGAAAUCUUCACCGUUGACUUAAGUUACUUGGCGCUGCGAGGGCUGGGGCCCUGCAUAUUGAUUAAAUGCAGCCUCUAUUUACCUAAACAAUAAAUGUAGAGAUUAGCAACGUUCACUUGAUCACAAUAAUGGGAUUGACAAUUAAGGGGCAAUGCAUCCCAGAUGUAGCGGAACCUAUGGGCUGCGUGCAGCGGGCAGAGGGCUUCUCAGAGAGGGGCGCUGGGCAGUUGCGGCGGCGGAGGUAGUGCAGAGCAGGAAGCGGCGCGGAAGCACAGCGGGAGGCGGAGGGGGACGCCCAGCCUCGUCAAGGUCUUCGGCCACCCCGCCCGGGAGGCUCGAAACUGGCUUUGGGGUACCUGAAUGCCCCGACUCCCAGGGAGACAUCGGGAGCUCGGAGCCACUCUCCCUGUGGCGAUGGCACCUGCCUCAAGGCCGUCUCGCUUGCUGAUGCCUGGCCGGGAAGGAGGAUGGACGCCGCUGGCAUGUGCCCUGGCUCUGGAAAAACUGGCAGGAAUUUCCUUGUCGUGAGAAGAUGGACGAGUGUGUCUGCAGCCGAGGAGACAACUACAAACAGACUUUGGGCAGGGAAGGCGGGCGGGCGGGGGUGGGGGUGGGGGGCGGGGGCCUGCUUUGAUCGCUCCAGCUCUGUUGUAAUUUUGUCUUCGCCAGAUAGAUUAGCUGGAACCGCCAGCCCUAGCUUGGAGUUCCGUUCCACGGAGUACCCUCCCUCCCCACCCCCCGCGUCAUCUCGCGCCUGGAGCCGGGUCGCCGCUCCUUCCGAAGUCUCGCUGGAAACUUCAAGGGCUGAUGGUUCUGUGUUCCUGACGUAAUUAGGAGGCCACGCAGCUCUCCAACACUCGGUUAAACAAAUAUCUCUUUCUUAGGAAGCGGAGAGAGGGGUAGAAAACGUGCACCUCGCCACCCACCGGACAAGCCGAGAGGACCUUGUCUUUGCUCGAAAAGUUUUCUAGAUAAAUCGCUCGGGUGGUUCUAAGCUAUGACGAACUAGAGGCUGGGCCCGGUUCUUCUCCAGAACAGCGUGUGGAUGUAAAGGAGAUGAAAUCGUCCUCCCCCACUGCUUUCUUUUUCUUCCCCGUAUAAAUCAGUCAUAUAAUUCAUUCGCAUUGUUUAAGGUACAUUGAUCAAUCUAAUGGCUUGUAAUAGUCUCCUAAUUGCCACUUGCAGACUCCUGCAGGCUCAGAUUUGAGGAGGGAAGGUUCCAGCCAAGUCCACCUUAAGCCUGAGUUUGGGCGACUACAGAAUCCAGGAAGAAAAUCUAGAUGGCAUGGUCGCUCCGGUCUCAGUUCUACAGGGGAGGGAAGAAAGGGGGUGUUAGUGGGGAUAUUUGCUGUUCAUUUUUCCCGCAAUCUCCCUUCCAAAUCAGUCACUGAUUAAUGAGCAAAGCCCAUGCCACAAGUUAUAGAUUACUGUGGACUGAGGAUCAUUUUGUUAAUAUCAGGCAAGAAACUUUCCUUACUUGCAUCCCUGUGUCUGUAUUUACAGUAAAGACUUCCUUAGUCACAAACUGAUAUGCUUUUAGCCAUACCUUUUCUUCUUACUUACUUAUUUUUAGCAUCAUCAGGAGUUGGGAUAGUAAAUAACAUGGGGGAGGGGUGUGUUAAAGGGAAGGAAGGAAAAGCCAUCCUUUAUCCCAGAGUGUCCUGGAGGUAUGCCUACACUCCUGUUUAACAUCUUGUGGUUGUAGUGCCUUCUCCAAGCCCUGGAUGGAGAAGGAAAGAGUUGGAAGCCUCCUCAAAUCUGCCUAUGAAAGGGUAAAACUGAGGAAACUGGUACCCUGGCUAUGAGAAGCUGAGUAAUGAUCAGAAUCCUCUGGCCUCUGGCUUUUCUUGAUAUUAGUUCAGGUCUACGUAAAAAAAUUGCUUUAGUGUCUCCAAAGGUGGUUCCAUUAGAGUUGGCUGAGACAAUACAUGUGCAUCAUUUUGGAAGAGAUGCUCUUAAAAAGAAGAAAGCCACUACAGAAUGCCACAUUUGCUGAGGUCUAAGACCCUUCUGUGGUAGUCGGUGAGGGAGGGAGGAAAGUAAAACCCCAAGCUGAAUAGGCCCCCUAUAGUUUCCGAGUGAUGCAGUAAACAAAUCUAUGAUGCUUGUUGAAUAAUCUUCCAAUAAUUGCAGUCAUUAAAAUCAUCACACAGUCUACAGUCACCUUCCUUCCUUUGACACACCAGUCUUUCCCUUAAUUGUUAAUGCAUUUUUGGCUCAGAUAAACACAUAGAGGCAAGCUUAAAAUAUAUGGCCCAGAUACAUCUAACAGCAGAAAAUUAGUUGUGUAACAAACGUUUGGACUGUACUUAAUAGACUAGGGGUUUUCAAUUUCUUCAGCAGACCCUACAGAGGCAAGAAAGAUUUGCAUCUUCUACCACUGCUAAAUAGCAGUGACGCCUCUGAGAUACAAAAAAAAAAAAAAAAAAAAAGAUGAAAGUCCCAUUGGCCUAUUGAAUCUUCCUUGCUCUUUCAUUUGCAAGGGUUGGGCUGGAAUUAGGACAUUAUAGAACAAAUAUUAAAGGAAAGCUUAACAGAAACUGUGGGAGAGUUCCUCAAUUUUCAAUUAAUUUUCUCUAUCCAUUUGAUCUCAACAACUGGUGCUUUAAAAAAUAUAAAUAUGUGUCAACUAUAAAAGAUUCCCUGCUAAUCAAAGGCUGUAUUUCAUUUUCACCCACCACUGACAAGACACCAACCGUGGAAAGGAUUCACCCGACUCAACAGGCACUAUGGACCUUCCUGGGCUUCCUUCUCCCUUGCUCAUGGCAGGCAACAUUGGUACACAAGGGCAGCUUUUUCUUUUUUUAACUCAAGUUAUUAAUGUAUCUCCGCAACUCCCACACCGUGCUGACCUGAUAAUCACUGCUCUAGUGAAGAUCAUGCAAAUGAAAAGCAUAAUUAAUUGCACAAAUGAUUUAAAAAGGAGCGCUGUGGCUUUGCAAAUAAAUAAAGGCAGUUGGGAGGA